UACGAGUGCCUCGAGCGUUAUCCGGAAUCAUUGGGCGUAAAGGGUGUGUAGGAGGUCUUAUUAGUCUUCUGUUAAAUUUCUCGGCUUAACCGGGAACAUGCAGGGGAAACGGUAAGACUAGAGGAUGCGAGGGAUCUACGGAACUCAUAGUGUAGCGGUGAAAUGCGUUGAUAUUAUGGGGAACACCAAAAGCGAAGGCAGUAGAUUGGAACACUCCUGACUCUGAAACACGAAAGCGUGGGUAGCGAAUGGG
rnacentral:rRNA from 1 species